UUAAGCGACUAAGCGUACACGGUGGAUGCCCUGGCAGUCAGAGGCGAUGAAGGACGUGCUAAUCUGCGAUAAGCGUCGGUAAGGUGAUAUGAACCGUUAUAACCGGCGAUUUCCGAAUGGGGAAACCCAGUGUGAUUCGUCACACUAUCAUUAACUGAAUCCAUAGGUUAAUGAGGCGAACCGGGGGAACUGAAACAUCUAAGUACCCCGAGGAAAAGAAAUCAACCGAGAUUCCCCCAGUAGCGGCGAGCGAACGGGGAGCAGCCCAGAGCCUGAAUCAGUGUGUGUGUUAGUGGAAGCGUCUGGAAAGGCGCGCGAUACAGGGUGACAGCCCCGUACACAAAAAUGCACAUGCUGUGAGCUCGAUGAGUAGGGCGGGACACGUGGUAUCCUGUCUGAAUAUGGGGGGACCAUCCUCCAAGGCUAAAUACUCCUGACUGACCGAUAGUGAACCAGUACCGUGAGGGAAAGGCGAAAAGAACCCCGGCGAGGGGAGUGAAAAAGAACCUGAAACCGUGUACGUACAAGCAGUGGGAGCCUCUUUUAUGGGGUGACUGCGUACCUUUUGUAUAAUGGGUCAGCGACUUAUAUUCUGUAGCAAGGUUAACCGAAUAGGGGAGCCGAAGGGAAACCGAGUCUUAACUGGGCGUUAAGUUGCAGGGUAUAGACCCGAAACCCGGUGAUCUAGCCAUGGGCAGGUUGAAGGUUGGGUAACACUAACUGGAGGACCGAACCGACUAAUGUUGAAAAAUUAGCGGAUGACUUGUGGCUGGGGGUGAAAGGCCAAUCAAACCGGGAGAUAGCUGGUUCUCCCCGAAAGCUAUUUAGGUAGCGCCUCGUGAAUUCAUCUCCGGGGGUAGAGCACUGUUUCGGCAAGGGGGUCAUCCCGACUUACCAACCCGAUGCAAACUGCGAAUACCGGAGAAUGUUAUCACGGGAGACACACGGCGGGUGCUAACGUCCGUCGUGAAGAGGGAAACAACCCAGACCGCCAGCUAAGGUCCCAAAGUCAUGGUUAAGUGGGAAACGAUGUGGGAAGGCCCAGACAGCCAGGAUGUUGGCUUAGAAGCAGCCAUCAUUUAAAGAAAGCGUAAUAGCUCACUGGUCGAGUCGGCCUGCGCGGAAGAUGUAACGGGGCUAAACCAUGCACCGAAGCUGCGGCAGCGACGCUUAUGCGUUGUUGGGUAGGGGAGCGUUCUGUAAGCCUGCGAAGGUGUGCUGUGAGGCAUGCUGGAGG
rnacentral:rRNA from 1 species